GCGCCAUCUGCCGAUUACCUCGGUCAGGAAUAUACAGUACAUACUAUGAAAACAAAAGUGUCAAGCAAUUGUCAAAUUUUCAUGCACGCGACAUCAGCUGUCAACAAAGUCAAGAUAAUAUAAGAUGGCUGAGAAUGAAUUAGUGUCCGAUACCGACGAGUACCUCGUUACAGAAGCUAUUAAUUUAGAUAUCGAGGAGUUAGAUAAUACAGAAUAUGCCAUACCAGCUGUGGAGGAAUUACCCACCUUGGAGAGUAUAUUGAUGGAACCCGAUUAUGAAUCGCUAUCAGAAACGGAUGAUGAUGUUGGCAUACCGUUGGAAGAGAAACUUGGCAGUAGCGAAACAACCAGCAUCGGUAGUCAUCUAUCAUUAAAUUCGUUGAACAAAUCUUCCAAGAUCUCUCAGAAAUCGCCCACGGGUGUUAUUUUAAGGCACGUCAUACUCAAAGGAAUCACAUCACAAAUUAUAUCUGCCAAUGAGAGAGUCAAUGCUGGUUUAGCGAGUGCAGUUGCGGCUGGAGGCAAUAUGUUGGUAAUUGGCACUAGCCAUGGUUUGAUAUUGGGCUUUGACCUGUCACAAACGUUACGUUGGUGCGAUCAGGAGGCGAGACAUCAGGGUUCAGUCUCUGCUCUUUGCUUUAAUUACGAGGGCAACAGAGUGCUAGCUGGUUUUGUCAGAGGACAUGUAUUAAUGUUAGAUAGCAGUAACGGAAAAGUUUUAAGGAUUCUUACUGAUGUACACCCACUUGACACUGCUGUAUUACAUGUUAAGUUUACAGAUUCACCAAAAAUAGCUUUAUGUAGCGAUAGUGGCGGCUCGGUGUUCGAAUUGAAUUUUACCAGAGUGAUGGGUGUGAGAGGUUGUGAUAGUAGAUGCUUAUUUAGCGGUUCUAAAGGAGAGGUAUGCACUCUAGAACCAUUGCUACUGAAUCACCUGCCCUCGCAUCCGUUGAAGAAUUAUACCUUGGUAGCGAUGGCAACGUUAUCAAAGGUCAUUGUAGUUUGCAUAAGGCCACGAAUGCGUGUUGUACUAAGUCAUCCUUUGACCGGUGCCCCGACGGCACCACCGCAAGUGUCUUGGCAGUUAGUUGUCAUACAGGCAGCUGAUGGAUCUCGUGUGAUCGAUCCAGUAUUGGCACUCGCAAGGGACAACGUGGUGCACUUUUAUCAGGUGUACACUGAGGUUGGUUCGCGGGUAAAAUUAUCUCCUCUGCAGAGGAUAACGCUACCAUACACGAUAAGCAAUUUGAGAUGGCUAAAUCCAAGGUCUCUUAUAGUAUUGGACAGUCAGGAGAAGCUACAUUUGUUGGACGUGAGAGCACAGGAUAAUUUGGAGACGUUGGAUAUGAGUCGUGUUGCUAUUUCUUAUGCUUCUAGUCACUUUAAAGGAUUGUCCACUGGCGGCAAUGUCUCCAAGGCAAUGGCAUUGGCUGGUGAACGAGCGUGCUACAAUACCGUCGUGGUUUUCGGUGCGCAGCUAUUGUUAUUAGGUAUAAAGAGUUUACAUACGAUCUGCAUAAGAACAUGGACGGAAAGAUUGCAACACUUGAUCAUGCAGAAACGGUUUCCUGAAGCGUUAGCACUCGGCCUUUCCUUUUAUCAAGAUAAAGGCAAAGCGGUUAUCGGUCUCCGUGGUUCCAAGCAACGUCGCAAGCAAAUAGCGCGCGACAAAGUCUGCCACGUACUGAUCGAGUAUAUGGACGAAUUGAAUCACUGUCUCGUAGAUGAGAAUGUAGAUUAUGAUACCAUGGUACUAACUUGCGUCAAUUACUGCAUCCAACUAGAAAGUUUAGAUCUACUUUUUGGAAAACUGUGGGACAUAGUUUUCGAAUCGGAAGACUUGAAAGUGAGUUACUUGCAUGCCCUCGAGGCUCCUCUGUUGGAUGGAAGUCUCCAACCGAGACUGCCGCCAUUGAUCGCCCAACAAUUGGUUACUCUGUACGAUCAAGAGGACAGAGUCGAUUCGCUGGAGGCGAUCAUAGUUCUGCUCAACGUGGAUUGUUUAGAUAUUCAUCAAGUAACGACAGUUUGCCGUCAACGAGGACUUUGGGAAGCACUGAUUCAUCUCCAGACGACCGCAUUGGGUGAUUUCACGGCGCCAAUUCAUCAGUUGGUACCGGUACUCCAAAAUUUAUUACGCGAGUCAGCAGUUAAUCUUUCACGAGACUGCAUAAAACUCGGCAAUGCCAUUCUGGUUUAUACCAGUUGUUGCCUCGCCGGUCGUGGAUUUCACAAGGAUGAACUUCCCGAGGGCAUGCCGCAAAAAGCGAAAGCAGACACGCUAAGAGCUCUACUGUCCCAACAUUCGAGCCUAGCGAAUGACGCGGAAAGACAAUAUCCAUAUCUGAGAACGUUGCUGCAGUUCGACGCUAAGGGCUUUCUCGAUGUUAUAGCUAUCGCCUUUCAGGAGCCGGAAUUUAUUUCUGAAAUGGGCUUACGGCACCGACAAAGGCUCAUAGAUAUUUUGUUGAACAUUGUUAUGCCGAAUACACCAGUCAGCCCAAAGAGUAUGGAUUACAUCACGAUAGAGCAGCAAUUUAUGGUUCUUAUGUUCGUGGCAAACGAGUUGUCUGAAAGUACUAUUACGUUGGAGCCUAGUGUGUUGAGUAGAAUGAUAGACCUAUUAUGCAUUGAUUCGCAUAUAGAAUUGUUGAAAGAUUAUAAGACUGAGAGAGAAAGUGCCGUGUUGGCGUUACUGCAUUCUAAAAAGCUGUGCAAUAUUUCUGAUAAUACUUUACUAAAUUUAGCGAAUAGGGCAGGCUUCGUAAGAGUCGCCGAGUUAUUGUACAGCGCACGAGAAGAUUGGGUAGCGGUGUGUAAAUGUAUGAUCUCAGAGUCGUCCAGGCAUCAUGAUGUGUGGCCCUGGCUAGAGCAUUUGUCACCUGCCUCGUUAGAACACGUUAUAUCCGUUCACAUCUCGACUCUCGUGACGAUCAACGCCAAUCAGUUUGCUACGAUCAUUGCUACGCAACAACUGCAGAACAAAAUUGAUGCGAUACUACAAAAGCUCAAUGGUGAUUUAAACUUGGAGUAUAAGCUGCUAGGAGCAUUGUAUCAAAUCGCGCAGUAUAAAGAGGAGGACAUUUCUCUGGAAUUAACAACUGACCAGCUGGAGAGAUAUUUAAUGUUGAUGUGCGAAUUGGAGCCGAUGCGAGUGGUCGUUCAUUUGCACGGGCCGCAUGGCUGCAGAUUGGACGAGGCACUGAAGAUUGUUCAAAGGUGGAAUUGUAAGGAUGCGGAGGCAGUAAUGUUAGAGAAGCUGGGCAGUUAUCAAGAAGCGUUUAAUCUUUUGCUGAAAGAAUUUGAGAAUCGGCUGGAGAUGUAUCGAGAAAAUAAAAUCUCGGAGAGCGAGACGGUGCAUGCUGCUGGACAGCUCGCGGGGAUAUGUCGAAGAUCAGCAGGAAAUGUAGAUUGGAUGCCUCUUGUGGAAGCUGUAUUUCGAUCGCACACAUGGAACAAUAAACAAAAUACGGACAACUUGAGUGGCAAAUUGUUGAGAUUAAUUCUGGAAUCUUUGAGCGGAACGUCAAUCCUAUCGAACAUACUUGAGCAAAUCCUACGAAAUCCACUGGCGACAAGUGGCACGAUAGGGGAUAUACGGCAAUUGCUGGCUGGAGUUCUCACUCAAUCACGAUAUGAACAAACUCUGGUCGAAACUACCGCACGAUUAGUGAGCUUAGAACUUCAUAAGGCUUUGGAAAAAUCCUUAAGUGAUUCUUUUGCCGUUCAGGGACGCUGGAAGAGCAUAUGGCAACAUUUCCACGAUCUGUCCCGUGUGCAGGCAACCGCUAUCACACUGUUCCGACUACGUGGUGAUGUUCAGCUGCGGUCACGGAUAUCACUCAACGUGUCUAAGUGAAACUAAAUCAUGUUACAAAUGCUUGAACACGAAAGGAUGGGCACCUAUCGCUACUAAUAUCGCACAUGCUGCUCCUGAACCACCACUGAGAAAGAAACAGCUUCUUCCGCCAGAAUUCCUGCGUCACAAAGAUCUCACGUUAAGACUGGCGCCGCCCUGUUCCAUUCCCGACCUCGAGGGUAUCUUUUAAUCUGAGAGUAGUCUUCGACUAUCUUCGACGAUCGCGUUUGUUUGAACGGUACGUAAUACCUUAGGAUAUAUCAAAACGUGAAUGUAUAUAUAGUACGUUACAUGCGCUAUAUCGGAUUUUGGCACUAUGAUCAACCUGUUUGCGAUACAUUGUAUAGUACUAAUAAGAAAUUAUUAAAUUCCAUUUCUCGAAAUUUUAUUUGUUCAACGCGCGCUGAUGUUUGCGACACGCACGUUGCCAAAAGUUAUUACUGAAAUACAAAAUAUC